ACCCACGAUCCCAGUGUUCAAGCGAGCGAAGAAGGUUCAUGCCUUAGACCGAGCGGCCACUGUGAUGCUCUAGCUUCACCACGAUUAACAAUACUUGUGACCUGAGAUGAUACGGAUGACUAUAGACAAAGAGCGACGGCCUACUCUUCAAGACUCGAUUUAUAUUAAGGUAGUGCAAAGCCGAAACACGCCUCAUCCCUGGUUCUUUUCAUUUCAUCACCUGAUUGGUAUAGACUUGUAAUCAGGAGGUUCUCGGCUCGAAUCUCGGCCGGGACACUGCCUAUCCUAAGGACAAUCGUGCUUUUCCUUAAUCCAUCCGGACAAAUAUAGGGAUAGUACUCGUACAUUGAUUAGGCCAGGCACGUUACCUGCGAAGUCCUUUCCAAUUCAUUCUUCAUACAUCAUCCUGCCAUCCGACGCUAUAUAGCCUUGAUACUGAAGAGAAUCAUUAAGUAACCACGUCAAAAAAGAGAGUAAUCAUCUUUCGCUAUAUAAGUUAAGACCUGACACAUAUUUCGCUCACACAAAGUUCAUAUUUACAUAUGUUGUGCCCCAGGUUAUUAAUGGGUAUGCUUUAUCCGAACAAGGGGUCAAAUUUACGUUUUAUUAAUUAGAAAAUAAUUAUAAGUUUUAUAAAUUUAAAUACGUCGGGUGAACCACGAGUUGGAAACCCGCCGGAAGUCAGAGUUGAGACGCCGUACAUUCUUUAGCCAUCCGGUGUCAGUUGCACAGUCUAGAAAGUGCUGACAGUGAAGGGACGAAACGAGGCAAGUCUCGCCACCGCACAGUUGGCUGACUUUAGGGGUUUUGAGCGAGCAGCUUUCCGUGAUGUUGAAUGUUGAGGGGUUCAGACGGGAGGAGCCGCGAACACUCAGAUUUUAAGAGUCGCUCGGAACAGUCGCGUGGUAGGAAGCAGACGCAAUGGAGUCAGAUGUCUUCCUUUUUGUGAGCGAGGAUUGACUUUGCUGGUUCUUUUUGUGGAAAGCAACUGGACUCCGGGUAAAGGCAGGAACCAUGUAGCAGUAGUGGACAAGAAUUCGAGUAAUGAGAAUAAUUGUUGGUUGUAUGAAGAGUUUAAAAUAGUAGAAGCAUGUCAUCCGUGUAUUGAGUUUGGAGUUUCAAGUAAAAGUGUUGGUUUGUGCCAUUUAGGUUUAGCAUAUUAUGGACAGUUAAAUGUAGGAAUUUAAAACCAGGGGUUUAAUCGAAGGUUCUGUGUGUAUUGCCAGGUUGUUUGUUGUAAUGGUGUUUUAUUUCAUUAUAUUUUAUUUUAUUUUA